GAAGAAGGGGAGGAGGAGGAGCCGGGAGCUGCUUGCGUAUUUCAGGAAAAGCUUCUUUUGUCGGAAAGGUAGCUGCAUACCCUCUUUUCAAAAUUUAAAAGGCAACUAACCUUCGUACCCAACUGAGCCCUUCUGCGCUGCAGACGAUAAGCGAUUGUGCUUUGCAGCAGAUGGUUACGGAACAAAGCAGAAGCGAAGUAACCACUGCACAUCCUGAGCGGUGCCCUGGAUUUGGUGUCGAGUUGCUUGCUUGGGAGCAGUGCUUAUCGCGGGGGGGGGGGGGGCGCCGCCGCCUCCAGGCGUCCUUUUUAUUGCACCCGCCCAAUGAUUUUUUGCUUGCACAAAACUGGAGUGAAGGUUAUUAUUAAAUUUAUUUAUAUCCCGUCUUUUUUCCUGACAGGGACUCAAGGCGGCUUACAGCUAAAAACCUGGGGCGGAGCAAUGGUUUAAAAACAAACAUAAAUAGAAUAUGCUGUGUUCGGCCUUUAUUGAGCGUUUCUGCCAGAAACUUUCUGAAUCGUUUGCAGGGAAGAGCAUUCAUCCUGACUGAUUUGUGCAGUGCUUAUAUGUCUUCACGUUAAUCAUGUUUAUCCCACACUUUUUAGUGCACUUGCCUGUCACUGCCCUAAUUGCAAAAAGUUGUGGGUUUUUAAAAGUGGAUUUAUUGUGCCAGAGCACUUUAGGCACAAGCCUAAAAUUUUGGUUAGCAGGCAAUGGGUUGGUGGCACUUCCCUGACCUCCUGUCACCAGCAUUGCUGCAGCUUAUUGGGAGGGAAAGGAAUGGAGGGUUUGUGGUGCAAACACACUGGUGGGAGCACCGAAUUAGCUCUGCUGGUGUGUUUGCACCAUGACAACUUCAGCACUGCCUCACCUCUCCCAGUAAGCUGCAGCGAUUACAAUGGGUAGCAGUGGAUAAGCGUCAACUGCUCUGCCUUGCUGAUUGACAGUGAAUUGAGGGAAAUUACAGUACCCAGGAUUCUUUUCAGGAAGCCAUGUGCUUUGAAUGUGUGUUGAAUGUGUGGAUGUGUGGUGCUGUAUGUUCCAGUAAUUAAUGAAUAUUUCUGUGCUUGUUUCAGAAAUGACUAUUGGCUACGUUCCAUUAUUUCCAGGAUCUCAGUUGCUGUUAAACCAAGGGUAGUAUUCUUUCAGAAAUUUCUUCCUCGUUUAGAGUUGAGACCCGACAAUGAAAGCAGAUUUUGUGGGAUCCUUGAAGUAGGUACAGCUGCGGAUAUGUUAGCUCCAGUCCCCCAGAGCCAGCUCCUGCUACUCCCAGCACUCCUGCUACUAAACGCUCUGCCUCAUGAGACCAGGGCCCUGCAGGAUCUGAUUUCUUUCCGCAGGGCCUGUAAGACAGAGUUGUUCCACCUUGGAGCCAAUUUGAUUCCCUCUCGCACUUUCUUUUUUCUUUUCCUUCUCCU